CACUUGAAUUGUAGGUAGUGAUCUUUUACCCGUAAGGGGGUUUUAUUUUGGAUCUGUGUGCUUUCCCUUUGAGCUGCUGGUAGUGGAAUCAAUUUUUUAAAAAUCUCGAAAUUAUUUGAAAACGCGUGUUGAAGGGAACAGAAUGAGAGGGAAAGGGAGGAAGUCUUGGAAGCUUGCCUAAUACCUGGAGGAUUUCUAGACCGUGGCAAAAGGCAAGGAAGUUCGGGUUUGUGAAUUUUAAAUUUGCUGAUGACCAGGGAAGAGCCUUGAGACUUAGUGAGACAAACGUCCUUGGGUAUGAAAUUAAAUUGAGAAAACCGAAAAGAAAGGAUGUAAGAAAGAUCAGAAUGUCAAAACACUUUUCAAGAACCUGCCUGACAAAGUCACUCAACAUGAGUUAAAAGAAGUGUUUAAGGAUGCCUUUCAAGUCAGAUUGUUUGAAUCCUGCAUGUGUGUCACUAAUUCAGAAGAUUAAAGGACUAAAUGUUGACUCUUCGUUCUUCUCUCCCCCACACCAUCUCCACAAUUGCAGGAUUGCAUAUGUUGAUUUCAAGUCACAGGCUGAUGCAGAAAGAGCCUUGGACUAGAAACAAGGAGCAGAGUGGGAAAACAAAAGCUAGACCAAGAAAGCCACGUGUU